rnacentral:rRNA from 1 species
GGCUGCAACUGUUUAUUAAAAACACAGCACUGUGCAAACACGAAAGUGGACGUAUACGGUGUGACGCCUGCCCGGUGCUGGAAGGUUAAUUGAUGGGGUUAGCGUAAGCGAAGCUCCUGAUCGAAGCCCCAGUAAACGGCGGCCGUAACUAUAACGGUCCUAAGGUAGCGAAAUUCCUUGUCGGGUAAGUUCCGACCUGCACGAAU